AAUUUACUAUUUAUUUUUAUAAAAUAUAAAAUAUAUAAAUAAAUGUUAAAUAAUUUAGACUAUUGGUAUUAGAUAUAAAUAUUAAUUUUAUAAUAUUGAGCAUUCACAUAUAAAUUGUACAUUAAAAAAUAAAAAAAAGAUUGAUGCAGCUUAAGUUAAUUUUAUAUUUGACGAAAGUUAAUUGCGAGAAUCACAAGCAAUGAUUUAUCUUCUCAUUCACUAACUACUGGGGGACUACGAUACCUACGAAAAAUUAUUUCACUAACUAAUGGGGGACUACCAUGCCUACUAAAAAUUUUUGAUAUAUUUAUUGCACCAUUUAUUAUUUCUCAACCCCUUAGAUAUGCAGCCAUGUUUUAAAUAAUUAGUAUGGGAUAAUUUCAUUCGUAUCCUUGAAAAUAUUAAAAAUAUUAUAAAUAACCUUACAAAAUUAGUAAUAUCAAAUCAAACAAAAAAGAACAAGAUGAGAAAAUAUUUAAUACAGUUGAAUAACUAUUUCAAAAUAUCUUAUAGUUGAGAGAGCUCCUUAUAUUUUCUAUAUUAGGGAAGAUAGUUAUAUUUAUUUGAAAUUAUUUCGUAAUCUGUUCGUAACAUUUCAUAAUUAUUCUGAAAUUGAUUUUUAUAACUAAUUUUUAAAAUUAAAUUUUAAAAUAACUACUCGCAGC
rnacentral:lncRNA from 1 species